ACAUCAAUAUGUUUGGUCCUAGGAUGGU
rnacentral:piRNA from 1 species